GACGAACGCUGGCGGCGUGCUUAACACAUGCAAGUCGAACGGAAAGGCCCUUCGGGGUACUCGAGUGGCGAACGGGUGAGUAACACGUGGGUGAUCUGCCCUGCACUUUGGGAUAAGCCUGGGAAGCUGGGUCUAAUACCGAAUAGGACCACGCGCUUCAUGGUGUGUGGUGGAAAGCUUUUGCGGUGUGGGAUGGGCCCGCGGCCUAUCAGCUUGUUGGUGGGGUAAUGGCCUACCAAGGCGACGACGGGUAGCCGGCCUGAGAGGGUGACCGGCCACACUGGGACUGAGAUACGGCCCAGACUCCUACGGGAGGCAGCAGUGGGGAAUAUUGCACAAUGGGCGCAAGCCUGAUGCAGCGACGCCGCGUGAGGGAUGACGGCCUUCGGGUUGUAAACCUCUUUCACCAGGGACGAAGCGUAAGUGACGGUACCUGGAGAAGAAGCACCGGCCAACUACGUG
rnacentral:rRNA from 1 species